CUGACAGACCUGCAGACCACAGUCCUUCAGUCACCUGGAACAAGAACAGGCAGACUGCAGCCAUGCACACAGCCCCACGUUAGCCCAAUAAGUCUCGACCCUGCUCUGAAGGAAUCGCCACUACAGAAAAGAGAUAGUUUGGUCUUCAUGCCCAUUUAAUCCUUCACCUGC
rnacentral:sRNA from 1 species